AGCAUAUCAAUAAGCGGAGGAAAAGAAACCAACAGGGAUUGCCUUAGUAACGGCGAGUGAAGCGGCAACAGCUCAAAUUUGAAAUCUGGUCCCCCCGGGGCCCGAGUUGUAAUUUGCAGAGGGUGCUUCGGCGUCGGCUCCGGUCCAAGUUCCUUGGAACAGGACGUCACAGAGGGUGAGAACCCCGUACGUGGCCGGAAGUCUUCGCCGUGUGAAGCCCCUUCGACGAGUCGAGUUGUUUGGGAAUGCAGCUCUAAAUGGGAGGUAAAUUUCUUCUAAAGCUAAAUACCGGCCAGAGACCGAUAGCGCACAAGUAGAGUGAUCGAAAGAUGAAAAGCACUUUGGAAAGAGAGUUAAAAAGCACGUGAAAUUGUUGAAAGGGAAGCAGUUGCAGCCAGACUUGGCCGCGGGCGUUCAUCCGUGCUUCUGCACGGUGUACUCGACCGCGGUCAGGCCAGCAUCAGUUCGGGCGGCCGGAUAAAGGUCCCGGGAAUGUGGCUCCCCUCGGGGAGUGUUAUAGCCCGGGGCGUAAUACGACCAGCCUGGACUGAGGUCCGCGCUUCGGCUAGGAUGCUGGCAUAAUGGCUGUAACUGGCCCGUCUUGAAACACGGACCAAGGAGUCUAACAUCUAUGCGAGUGUUUGGGUGUCAAACCCAUACGCGUAAUGAAAGUGAACGGAGGUGAGAGCCGCAAGGCGCAUCAUCGACCGAUCCUGAUGUCUUCGGAUGGAUUUGAGUAUGAGCAUAGCUGUUGGGACCCGAAAGAUGGUGAACUAUGCCUGAAUAGGGUGAAGCCAGAGGAAACUCUGGUGGAGGCUCGCAGCGGUUCUGACGUGCAAAUCGAUCGUCAAAUUUGGGUAUAGGGGCGAAAGACUAAUCGAACCAUCUAGUAGCUGGUUCCUGCCGAU
rnacentral:rRNA from 1 species